rnacentral:rRNA from 1 species
UACGUGGGGGGCAAGCGUUGUUCGGAUUUAUUGGGCGUAAAGGGCGCGUAGGCGGUCUGACAAGUCUGAUGUGAAAUCUAUGGGCUCAACCCAUAGUCUGCAUCGGAAACUGUCGGGCUGGAGUAUGGGAGAGGUGAGUGGAAUUUCCGGUGUAGCGGUGAAAUGCGUAGAUAUCGGAAGGAACACCGGUGGCGAAAGCGGCUCACUGGACCAUUACUGACGCUGAUGCGCGAAAGCUAGGGGAGCAAACAGG